rnacentral:rRNA from 1 species
AGAACGAACGCUGGCGGCAUGCCUAACACAUGCAAGUCGAACGAGACCUUCGGGUCUAGUGGCGCACGGGUGCGUAACGCGUGGGAAUCUGCCCUUGGGUACGGAAUAACAGUUAGAAAUGACUGCUAAUACCGUAUAAUGACUCCGGUCCAAAGAUUUAUCGCCCAGGGAUGAGCCCGCGUAGGAUUAGCUAGUUGGAGAGGUAAAGGCUCACCAAGGCGACGAUCCUUAGCUGGUCUGAGAGGAUGAUCAGCCACCACGUGGACGUGACGACGACCGGCCCACGACGUCCGUACGGGA